rnacentral:tRNA from 1 species
UGUAAAAUAAGCUAAGAGUAAGCUGUUGGGUUCAUACCCCAAAAAUGAAUGUUUAAUUCUUUUACAA